UACAGAGGGUGCGAGCGUUGUCCGGAAUUACUGGGCGUAAAGGGCGCGUAGGCGGCUUGGUAAGUCGGGGGUGAAAGUCAGCGGCUCAACCGCUGGACUGCCUUCGAGACUGCCUGGCUUGAGCAUGGUAGAGGCUGGCGGAAUUCCCGGUGUAGCGGUGGAAUGCGUAGAGAUCGGGAAGAACAUCGGUGGCGAAGGCGGCCAGCUGGGCCAUUGCUGACGCUGAGGCGCGACAGCGUGGGGAGCAAACAGGAUUAGAUACCCUGGUAGUCCACGCCGUAAACGAUGGGUACUAGGCGUCGGGGGGAGCGACCCCUUCGGUGCCGUCGUUAACACAGUAAGUACCCCGCCUGGGGAGUACGGCCGCAAGGCUGAA
rnacentral:rRNA from 1 species